rnacentral:sRNA from 1 species
CGGAGUCCCGAGCCGUGGCUGCCACGGGCGGUGGGCGGGCGGAGGAGAGCACCGGACCACCAGUGCAGGCUGCCGAGUCGGGGCGGCCGCCCGCGGGGAAGCUGCGAGGCGCGGGAGCACCUGGGGGACCGCUCGCAGCGGGGACGCGAGGACCCGGGCUGGGCUUUCCUCACCCUGGUACCUUGUUAUCCCAUAACUUUGGUAUCCUGAAAUCUGAGGAUUCCAACAAGAUAAUAUGAUAAGAACUUUCAGUGAUUUGGGGCCAUAUCCUACUUAGACUAAUGUGGAAUUUCCAGAUUUCCUGAGAGUUUGGUACAGCAGCACACACUGCUUGCUAAUCAGCACAGGCAAUAAUGCCAUCUCUGCCUCAAGAAGGAGUUAUUCAGGGACCCUCUCCCCUGGAUUUGAAUACAGAAUUACCUUAUCAAAGCACAAUGAAAAGGAAAGUCAGAAAGAAGAAAAAGAAGGGAACCAUUACAGCAAAUGUUGCCGGGACAAAGUUUGAAAUUGUUCGUUUAGUAAUAGAUGAAAUGGGAUUUAUGAAAACUCCAGAUGAGGAUGAAACAAGUAAUCUUAUAUGGUGUGAUUCUGCUGUUCAGCAGGAGAAAAUUUCAGAGCUGCAAAAUUAUCAGAGGAUCAACCAUUUUCCAGGAAUGGGGGAGAUCUGUAGGAAGGAUUUCUUAGCAAGAAAUAUGACCAAAAUGAUCAAGUCUCGGCCUCUGGAUUAUACCUUUGUUCCUCGAACAUGGAUCUUUCCUGCCGAAUAUACUCAAUUCCAAAAUUAUGUGAAAGAAUUGAAGAAAAAACGGAAGCAGAAAACUUUUAUAGUGAAACCAGCUAAUGGUGCAAUGGGUCAUGGACCCAGUUAUACAUGCAUCUGACAAACUACUCCGUGAACAAGCAUAAUGAGCGUUUUGAACGGGAUGAAACUGAGAACAAAGGCAGCAAACGUUCCAUCAAAUGGUUUACAGAAUUCCUUCAAGCAAAUCAACAUGAUGUUGCUAAGUUUUGGAGUGAUAUUUCAGAAUUGGUGGUAAAGACCCUGAUUGUAGCAGAACCUCAUGUCCUGCAUGCGUAUCGAAUGUGUAGACCUGGUCAACCUCCAGGAAGCGAAAGUGUCUGCUUUGAAGUCCUGGGAUUUGAUAUAUUGUUGGAUAGAAAACUAAAGCCAUGGCUUCUGGAGAUUAACCGAGCCCCAAGCUUUGGAACUGAUCAGAAAAUAGACUAUGAUGUAAAAAGGGGAGUGCUGCUAAAUGCAUUGAAGCUACUAAACAUAAGGACCAGUGACAAAAGGAGAAACUUGGCCAAACAAAAAGCUGAGGCUCAAAGGAGGCUCUAUGGUCAAAAUUCAAUUAAAAGGCUCUUACCAGGCUCCUCAGACUGGGAACAGCAGAGACACCAGUUGGAGAGGCGGAAAGAAGAGUUGAAAGAGAGACUCGCUCAAGUACGAAAGCAGAUCUCACGAGAAGAACAUGAAAAUCGACAUAUGGGGAAUUAUAGCUCAUUGUGUUCUUGGAAAGAUUGCCCACUUUCCAACUUUUGACAUUGCCUGAGCAGGAUAAAGGAAUGUGUGAGGGCGUUUUUGCACUCAUGACGAAUUUAUCCUCCUGAAGAUAAAGCACUACUUGAAAAGUAUGAAAAUUUGUUAGCCGUUGCCUUUCAGACCUUCCUUUCAGGAAGAGCAGCUUCAUUCCAGCGAGAGUUGAAUAAUCCUUUGAAAAGGAUGAAGAAUAUUUUUUGAAGGAGGAAGAUAUUUUGGAUCUUCUGGAGCAAUGUGAAAUUGAUGAUGAAAAGUUGAUGGGAAAAACUACCAAGAUUCGAGGACCAAAGCCUCUGUGUUCUAUGCCUGAGAGUACUGAGAUAAUGAAAAGACCGAAAUACUGCAGCAGUGACAGCAGUUAUGAUAGUAGCAGCAGCUCUUCAGAAUCUGACGAAAAUGAAAAAGAAGAGUACCAAAAUAAGAAAAGAGAAAAGCAAGUUACAUAUAAUCUUAAACCCUCCAACCACUACAAAUUAAUUCAACAACCCAGCUCCAUAAGACGUUCAGUCAGCUGCCCUCGGUCCAUCUCUGCUCAAUCACCUUCCAGUGGGGACACUCGCCCAUUUUCUGCUCAACAAAUGAUAUCUGUGUCACGGCCAACUUCUGCAUCUCGGUCACAUUCCUUAAACCGUGCUUCCUCCUACGUGAGGCAUCUGCCUCACAGUAAUGAUGCCUGCUCUACCAACUCUCAAGUGAGUGAGUCUUUGCGGCAACUGAAAACAAAAGAACAAGAAGAUGAUCUAACAAGUCAGACCUUAUUUGUUCUCAAGGACAUGAAGAUCCGGUUUCCAGGAAAGUCAGAUGCAGAAUCAGAACUUCUGAUAGAAGAUAUCAUCGAUAACUGGAAGUAUCAUAAAACCAAAGUGGCUUCAUAUUGGCUCAUAAAAUUGGACUCUGUAAAACAACGAAAAGUUUUGGACAUAGUGAAAACAAGCAUUCGUACAGUUCUUCCACGCAUCUGGAAGGUGCCUGAUGUCGAAGAAGUAAAUUUAUAUCGGAUUUUCAACCGGGUUUUUAAUCGCUUACUCUGGAGUCAUGGCCAAGGGCUCUGGAACUGUUUCUGUGAUUCAGGUUAGGUGUAAAAUCUUAGAAAAAUAUAAUCCAAGUCUUUGAUUAUAUCCAAGAAUCCAAGGCCUUGAUUCUUGCCUUUGCAUGUCAACAUCCCCAACAAUAAAACAAAAUCCUCUUGGGAGAGUAUAUUCAAUAAAAGCCCGGAGGUGGUGACUCCUUUGCAGCUCCAGUGUUGCCAGCGCCUGGUGGAGCUUUGUAAACAGUGCCUGCUAGUGGUUUACAAAUAUGCAACUGACAAAAGAGGAUCACUUUCAGGCAUUGGUCCUGACUGGGGUAAUUCCAGGUAUUUACUACCAGGGAGUACCCAAUUCUUCUUGAGAACACCAACCUACAGCUUGAAGUACAAUUCACCUGGAAUGACUCGCUCCAAUGUUUUGUUUACAUCCAGAUAUGGCCAUUUGUGAAACAGAAGGGAAGAUCACCAUUGGUUAUACAUAACAGCAAUUCAUUUUUUUCCCCUAAAGUUGAACAUGCAAAGAACAUGACCAUUAAGUGCUGUUUUAUGUAUAUAAGACAUAUAUAUGUGUGAAAAUAUAUGCACAUAUGCACCCAAAUAACAUAUAUUUAUUAUAUUAAAUAAUAUAUGAAAGAAGAAUUAGCAGAAAAUGGAAUAUAAGACUUAACCUUUCUGGAAAUGUAAUAAACCAUGUUAAAAUUGUUUACACAAAUAUGUGAAUGUCUAGAACUUGCUAGGUUUAUAAUUAAUUCCUUCCUACUAGAAAUGUUAUUUUUGCUGCAGAGUAUAUAAAACAAAUUGAUCUUGAAGAUCCAAUUACAGUGUUAAAUUAUUUUCUAGAUAACAUGCCUUUUGACCUGAAAAAGGGUUUAGUAUAAUACCUUAAAAAUUCUCAUAUAUAGUAGCCAUUUUAAAUGAAACAAAAAGAUUUAGAAGCCUGGUGUUGCUUGAUGAUAAGAUUAAGAAGUUUAAAACGGGUUUAUCAUUACUAUAGCACACUGUAAAGUACUAGAAAAGUCAUAACCUGAUUCUCUAACCUUUUUAUUCCUCUAUGUGGAAAUUUAGCUACUUGUAAUAAUGUACAUUUUCAGUAAGGAUCUGGUAAGAUCAUACUAUGAUCUAAAAUGAAAGACAGGCUGGGUGCGGUGGCUCACGCCUGUAAUCCCAGCACUUUGGGAGGCCGAGGUGAGUGGAUCACCGGAGGUCAGGAGUUUGAGACUAGCCUGGCCAACAUGGUGAAACCCCAUCUCUACUAAAAAUACAAAAAUCAGCUGGGUGUGGUGGUAAGUGCCUGUAAUCCCAGCUACUUGGGAGGCUGAGACAGGAGAAUCACUUGAACCUGGGAGGCGGAGGUUGCAGUGAGCCGAGAUCGUGCCAUUGCAUUCCAGCCUGGGUGAUGAGAGUGAAACUCUGUCUCAAAAAUAAAUAAAUAAAUAAAUAAAUAAAUAAAUAAAUAAAUAAAUAAAAAGAUUAAAUAAAUAAAAUGGAAGACAAUCCAAUGGGUUAAAAAUAAAAUGUAAACUAGCUUUCAUUUUUACUUUUCAUAGAGAAUCACAUAAAGGAACAGAAAAUGAUGGUAACAAAAUCUUUCUAUAUGGCUUUUAUGUCUUAUACCACUCAUUUUUAUUUGGAAAGUAUAUCUUUGAUGGGUUUAACAUAUGGUUAAAUACAAUUUCUCCUGUUUUGCAGAAGUAGAAGAGCUGACACAUUUCGCUCAUUUUAGUGUUAUAGGAUAAUGAGACAAACUUAUUUUUAUAAAUCUCUCAAGGUUGAAAUCAACUUAUAUUUGCAAAGUCUAAUACAGUAGUUUCUCAUUGCACCACAGAAACAGUUAAAGGAUUGUGAAUAGAAGAUUUCAAUGAUCACAUAUUACAAGUCAUCAGUGUACCCUUGAGGGUUUUUAAAAAAUCAAAGCAGAGAACGAAGUGUUCUUGUCCAAAAGUUGUUAUGCAUAAGUUUCAUAGCAGUUUACUUCCUUUUCUUAAAUACAGUUUUUAAAACCAAGAAUGAGCUUUCAGUUUUCCAUAAAAAUAUAAGCUGUACUACUUUGACAUUGAAAUAAUCAGUGCAGCCAUCACUUCUUAGAAUUUAUUUAAACUUCUUCUCCCAACAGUUUUAUUUUCUCCUAGCUGCUAAUUAUUUUCAAAAUUCAUGAACGUUUUACCUCCUUUUGCUAUUCUGAAAGUUAUUUCAAGAAGCGGCCCCAAAGCAGGAGAACUGAGAGGGGCAAAUUGGCCUGGUUUAAUUCACAGCCUGAAUAAUUGGCAACCUAAAGUUGUAAGUUAUAGAUGUAUUUUGCUUUUCAAGCCAUCUUCUGAGCCUUUUUUAGGCUGAAAUGAUUUGUUUCUUUCCCAAAUUAUUGCUAGCUACUUGAUUUUUUAAGACUACCUAACAUCCACAUUUGGUAGAUACUUUUCCUCUGUGCAUGCAUCCCGAAGAAGAAUUUGCUAUUUGUGGAAGAAGAGGAUAAGGGUAUCAGAAUGAAGGAAAUUACGUGACUACACUGUUUGUGACUCCAUUUUGUGAAUUCUUAAAUAUGUUAUGGAUUUUUUUUAGAAAAAAUAAUGCAAAAAUUGGGAUAUUACAGAAUCACCAUAAGGAUGGUCAACAAGUAAUAAGUCUUUUCAUGGAGUUCAUUUUUCUUUUAAAUUCAUGAUUUGGCCACAAAUAUAUAUAUAUAACUUUAAGUGUCUGAUAUAUGAUAACAGCCCAGUUUCUUGGCCACUCAUUUGCGUUAUCUUAAAUCACAAAUAAUUACUUAAUUUGCUGGAGUGUGAGCUUUGCAACUUUUGUACCAGAGCAAAAUUUUUAUUUAAAACAAAAAAUAAGAAUGUCCAUCACUAGGAGAAACACUCCUCCCAGAAAACACACACACACACACACACACACACACAAUUUAAAAACUGAGUAAAUUUAAAUGUAUGAAAGUACCCCACAAAUUGAUUUCAACAAAUAAAUUUCAUUUCUCUAGCUACUUAUGUCUGGCCUUAUUUUGAGUGUUACAAUUUUAUUGCCUUCCUUUGCCUAUUUAGACUGAUGUAGUUUGAUAUGAUGAAGUUGUGAAUAAAAGCCUUGUGUUCAUUAUUUAUAUAUACUACCUGGUAUGCUAUGGACUGUGUCUGCUGUAGUGCUAUUCCCUAAUGAGCAACUAAGAAGAGAAGACACAACAAUAAACCAUGGAAGUGUUGGGAGGCCAUGGAAAUGAUUUAGAGAUAUAAAAUAUUCCCCAGUUUUUAUUAUAAGUUUUUAUUCAUGGGUUAAAACAUAUCAGCAUAAGUGAUAGUACAGGUGUGACUCCCUUUUCUAGGAGAGAAAAUAGCUUUAUUCGAAAACUCCAAAAGCUACUUAAUCUUACAGAGGUUUUUAAUAGGGGAACUGGGUUUACUUACAAUGAAAGCAUAUUUUCAUUUUGCUAUAGAAAACAUAUCCUGCUCAUUCAGUAAAUCUAAGAUUGGAAUGCUUUCUAGAACUAUGCAAUAUUUGAAUAAUUUCUAGAAAUGUCUAAGAAACAACCUUUUUUAUUUGAAACCAUCACUUACAAACGUAGUCUGAGACUGCAAAUUAGUUUUCACUUGAAUAAUCCAUCAUUAUAGAUUAGUUACCAUUUGCUCUAUAUAAUCUAUUGAAGGAACUAUUGUUAUUCAUAUUUUGAUUAAUUUUACUAGCAACAAAUUUUUAUUUUAGUAGCAUUGCGUUUACCUUAAAUAUGUAAAAAUGAAGUUGUAACAGGAUCAAAUAUGGAAAUGGCAAUGGUAACUCUGCCUAGAACAUAGUUGAAUGUCCUUGGUUGUCUGUAAGAUGCAAAGAUCUAUACAAAUUUUAUCAUAGGUCAAAAUUAUUUCUAAAUACACAGUUUCAACUAUUUCUUCCUCCCUAAAACUAAAACCAAACCAAACCCAAAUGAAGAAACCUAAACUUCUUUUCAUCUAAUAGUUAUACCCAACUAGAUAGAUAAUAGUAGCUUCUAGACAUCAAUAAAAAGAUUUUAUUUCAAUUGUCUUUUUAAUUUGUAAAAUAUAUGAGUAUGGAAUUUUGUAUCUAACUUGAAAUUUCAGAUGUUUUAAUAAUUCAAAUACUUUCUUCUUUAGCAUGUCAAAGUACUAAUAGUUUAAAAAUCUCUUUAGAUCUAAGCAUAUACAUUACUCGACUUUUUCAAAAGUAUCAAAAAAUUGAUAGCUGCAGAAAUGUCAUUAUUUGAUUUUCUAAAAAACAUUGAUUCAUUCUUAAAUGUAUAUUCUUUAAAAAAUAGUAAAUACCUCAAGAGUGACAGAAAACUUUCCUUUUCCGUUCUGUAAUGCUAAUUUAAACUUUGAGUCUUAGUUUACAUGGUCAUAGGGGUUAAAUAAAACGUAUAAGUGUACAAUUAAUUGUGUUCUUGUGACCUGAUGAUUUUUUGAAAAUUUGCUUUUCUCUUUAAAUUAAGAAAUUUAAGUUUUCAAGGGCCACAUUAGUUAUCUAAAUAUUUUGGGCUAAUGUUGACUUAUAAAUAAAUAAAAAUUUAGAAAUAUAUUCAUGAUGACAAUUUUGUUACUUACACUGCCUAUUCUUUAUUUCUUCUUUUUUAGUUCAAAGGUGAAAUUUUGACCUUUGUAUUAACAAAGCCUCAAGAAAAGAGAAAUUCUGCCUUUUAAACAUUGGUUUUCCUUGCAUUUUAUGGUGGUGUGCUUUUGCCUCAGCAAUAAUAAAACAUAAAAUAUGUUGUUGCAUCAAGUUCAGUUUGUCUGCUGAGAUUAUUUUUAAGAACCAGGUUGAAGUCUCUAUGCCUAAAAAAGCAUUUAUUGUCUGGAUCCAUAUAAAGCAAGAUACAUGGCUACAAAUAAGUCUUGCAACCAAAAUUGGUAUAUUAAAAUUUACUGCACACUUUGAGAUUGCUGCCAUUUUUUGGUGCUUUUUGGACCUCGUCAUAAAGGGAUGUAUCGUAUAUUGAGGGAAAAUUACUCAAGUUACACAUUCUACAUUAACUGCGCUGUAUUAUCUACAGCUACAAUCAAUGGACCAAUGGUUCCUAAAUUAGUAAUAAGGCUUACCUUACAAAAGUAAUGAAAUAACACUGAUAUUUCUCUUUCAAAGGCUAACAGCAAUUCUUGGUCCUGAGCUAUUCGGUUCAUACAGUAACUACUGUACAUGCUACAACAUCUGAAUAUUAAUGGUUUUGCUGCAGAUUCUGGGUAUGAGGAUUAGCUUAAAAGCAAUACAUUUGCUAACAUGAAUCAUGACUCAUAUUAUCCCCAUGUGCUUUACUACCUGUAUUUGAAUGCAAAUGUUGUUACAGAAAAUAUGCUUGAAAUGUCAAUACAGUGUGCAAUUAGUGUUGCAUUGUCAUGCUCCAGCAUGUGAUAUCUGUAUGGUGAAGUUAUUUCAAUUACUCUGAUAUGUUACUAUAAUAAAAAAGUUUAACCUAAGAAA